AACGAACGCUGGCGGCAUGCCUAACACAUGCAAGUCGAACGAUUGCCUUCGGGUGAUAGUGGCGCACGGGUGCGUAACGCGUGGGAAUCUGCCCUUAGGUUCGGAAUAACAGCUGGAAACGGCUGCUAAUACCGGAUGAUAUCGCGAGAUCAAAGAUUUAUCGCCUGAGGAUGAGCCCGCGUUGGAUUAGGUAGUUGGUGGGGUAAAGGCCUACCAAGCCGACGAUCCAUAGCUGGUCUGAGAGGAUGAUCAGCCACACUGGGACUGAGACACGGCCCAGACUCCUAUGGGAGGCAGCAGUGGGGAAUAUUGGACAAUGGGCGCAAGCCUGAUCCAGCAAUGCCGCGUGAGUGAUGAAGGCCCUAGGGUUGUAAAGCCCUUUUACCCGGGAAGAUAAUGACUGUACCGGGAGAAUAAGCCCCGGCUAACUCCGUG
rnacentral:rRNA from 1 species